rnacentral:rRNA from 1 species
UACGGGGGGAGCAAGCGUUGUUCGGAUUUACUGGGCGUAAAGGGCGCGUAGGCGGCCACCGCAAGUCGACUGUUAAAUCUCCGGGCUUAACCCGGAAAGGUCAGCCGAUACUGCGGGGCUAGAGUGCAUAAGGGGCAACUGGAAUUCUCGGUGUAGCGGUGAAAUGCGUAGAUAUCGAGAGGAACACCAGAGGUGAAGACGGGUUGCUGGGCCGACACUGACGCUGACAGCGCGAAAGCCAGGGGAGCAAACGGG